GUGCAACUGUUCAAUAUCUUGUCUUGUGGUGUGUUCUGACCAAGACUAUUCCAGAUCAAGGCCAGAGUGUAUGGUACCUCUUCUUCGUGCUUCUCAUCAUAAGAAAAACAAGGCUCAAAGAAAUUGUCUGUGAUCUUUCAAGGGUUGUUUUAUGACUGAGAAUCGCUGAAGUGUCAAAAUCGGUAUGUCGGGGGAAAUCGAGCGAUAACAGCUGUGGCAUUCGGUCAGUAGAUGGCGCAGCUAGAAAAACUAUCCUGCGGAGACCUCGGCUUGAGCUACGAGAUCUUGGCGUUUGUGACUCCUAGCAAAGUCUUUGGCUUCCGACGCCAGUUACCUGCUCGGGUUGAUUUAAUAUUUUCUUCCGUGAAAGUGGAUGUUGAAGCCUAGUAACCUCAGCCAUAGAACUUAGAGCCAACUAAAACUUAACUGCUUUGGAAGACUCAACCCACUUUUUGACCCAGUCACACUGCCAGAGACAUGUUCAAACCAGAAAGCUUUUCAUGCUUCUUCUGCAUGGAGCUGUCUCACAGAAAUCUCCAGUUAAUGAAUGCUGUGCUGUGGGAAAGAAAAGGUAAGAAGACUUCUAGAAGCUGUGAAAGCAGGCCUCAGAAAGAGAAAGAGCGAAGAACUUAGAGCUAGCUGCAAAGCCUGAAAGAAGAAAAGACACAAUAGUACCGCGAACAAGGACAUGAAACAAUAGUUUGAGUUUUUAGGCUUGGCUAAGAUAGAUCUAAGAGUGCAGAAAAAUAUGCCUAGCAAGAUAUUAGAAGGUUUUAAGCUUAAUAAUGGAGUAUUGUGUAUUGCUAAUAGAAAGUAUAGAAGCAAGCAUUGUUCGAAGCUGGGUGUAUGUGUGCUUUUAGUGAUUGGCUAGAACAGUUGUUAGUAAGCUUUAGCAAUAUGCUAUUGGCUGGAAAACUUUUUAAAUGCCCUGUAACGGAGAUCUUUGGCUGUUGCUGGCAAGACAUGAGCUGUUGCCAUCUUUCAAUUGUCUCAACCUGUAAUGAGGCUGAUGUCACAAUAAAGCUCAAGGAAUGUAUCCCAGUUAGAAAGAGUAGAGAACUUAAAGUUAGUUGUAGUUGUAAAGCUUGAAAGAAGAAAAGAUAUAAUAGUAUAGUAAGUAAGGACAAGAAAUAAUAGUUUGACUUCUUUUGGUUUGGCUAAGAUAGACUUUAGGAGUGUAGAAAAAUAUAUUUAGUAAGGUAGUUGAAGGUUUUAAGCUUAAUAAUGGAGAAUUGUGUAUUGUUAAUAGAAAGUAUAUAAGUGAGUAUUGUUUGAAGUAGGUGUACGAGUGUUUUUAGCGAUUGGCUAGAAUAAUUGUUUGUAAGCUUUAGUAAUAUGUUAUUGAUUGGAAAGAUUUUAAAAUGUCUUGUAACAAAGAUUUUUGGUUGUUCUUGGUAAGAUGUGAGCUGUUACUUUUUCUCACUUGUUGUAAUGAGGUUGAUGUUAUAACAAAGCUUAGGGGAAUGUAUUUUAGUAGUUCUGUCCCAUUUGUGAAAAACACCAACACACUGUGUUUAAUGGCGAAGCAGUGCACUAUGUUCUGCUGUUGUUUUAAAUCUGUGACAUAAUCUUGCUUCCAGGAUUCCUGCUCCUCUGCUGCCAAUAGAAAAUACUAUAUAUUCCCUAGGACUUUCCUAACUGCUGUUUUCAAGUUGCUAACUAAGAACUUGCACUUGUGUGCUGAUACUGUGCAUUGUGGUAUGUGAUACCCAAAAUGACAGGGGAAUCACCUGUUUCCCCAUGAAACAUUGCCUCUUCUCUUCUUACGCUUUGUGUUUCACUGUAGCUGCCAUUUUCUUGCUGUGAGGCUGGGGGUAAAUCACAAGUGCUCUGUUUGUCCAUGGAUUAUGAACUUAAUGUUCUUUGAGAAUUUAGGGACUUUUUAAACAGAGUGUCUUAUUUCUUUUGCAAAAGUUGCUUUGUCAUUGUCCCAAAGAUGGCGAGAGACUGUUUUUAAUCUUCAGCCUUUUCAGCUCUUCACAAGAAGUAGAUGUGCUGUUAAUAUCACACAGCUCCUUUAAUUACGCAAUUAGCACUGAAACUACAAUGCUAAGAAAUCAGGAAUGGGAAAAAUAAUAGGCUUUCCAGGCCUUAAUGGUCUAUGUGUUACUACAGUAAUCUUUUAGUCUCAUUCCCUUGUGAACUAAUAUCCUCAGUGGUACUGUCAUGUCUAUAACUUUAUUCCCAUCAAUGAAGCUUCACAGCCUAAUAGAUCUGUCCCAGGUAAGCAGUUUUCACUCUGCAGAGCGUAGAUGCUUUGCCUACUCAAUGGUCCGUAUCAGCUAUUAAGUACUGACAAUGGUCUUCCCUGAGCAGCCUUUUAGCAAACAGCUUAUUUCAGUGAGCUUGCCUGGUGCAACAGGAAUGUUGAAGGGUGGGGUUUUUUGGUUGCUGGUUGGAGUUCUUGAUAAUUUAGUAUUCAGUAUCAAUUCAGGCAAUAGUUCUAUCUUUCUGUAAGUGUAUAAAAAUACCUCCUUACUCAACAUGGCUUUUUAAGAAAUUGGCACACAAAAUAUGAGCUGCCUUUAGCAGUUCAUCCUUCUGGUCACAGAACACAUUUAUUAAUCAUUCAAUACAUUUUGCUAUUUUGACAGCUGGGAAAACCUUUGAAGAUGCAUUGUUUCAGAGUUAAUUGGUUUGGCUUGGGUUUUGUUUUUUAGCUUUUUUUUCUUUGUUUUCCAAAGGGAGAAAUGGUGAAAUAUAGGAUUUUCCUUUAUGCAAUGUAUUCUUUGACUUUCUCCAGUCUGCUGUUACUAAGAUGAUUAAUUGCUCAGGCUGGAAGAUAGGACUCUUUACAGAGUCCUGGUUAUCUGAUAGAAGCUAAAUUCAUUGGGAGUGGGGAGAGGAAAAUAUAUUGGUUUUGUCUUACAAAAUAGUUUGUGCAUUUUAGAAAUGAAGUUUGAAGGAACCCCAGCAUUUCUGAGAAAGGCAUGAGAGAAAAAGCAAGGCAGCUCCAUGAAUAAAAUCAUGUUUGUUGUUUAGGAGCUAUUGGACUACCUGCCAAUGGGAAGAGUUAAUUCUAUAUGCACACAGGAGACUUAAUUAUGCAUUUAUAGUAGCACAUUCAUCUGCAAAGUAAGCCUCUGGACUGCUUGCAUGAACCUUAUGCAAAGUCAUUCAGAGUAGCAUGAGGUUGUGUCUUCAGAAUUGUUGUCUCCAGUGAAAGCCAUCUUGGUUUGUCUCACUGGAGAAGUGUACUCAAUGUCACCUUUCUGGGAGGAAGGUUGGAUUGUCAUUCUGUGUACCCAUCUGGCUCCUCAGUCUCCUGAGAAUGGGGUCACUCUGUUUGGAUGUUUGCUAUACACACCUUGUAGAGGUUUCAUGUUCAACAAAUUCUGUUUGCCGAAUUUAGUGUAGUGGUCUUAGUGUUUACUUUCUUUUUGUGGGAGAGGAUCAGGAGGACCAAAGCAGGCUCAAGCUUAAAAAAUAAACAAAUAGUUUUAUUAACACACACUAAAAGAAUGGAAAAGUUGAAAAACAAACAAACAAAAGUAACUUCAAAGCUCUCUUCCCUUUCCUUACAAACUGUUAACUUUCUUACAAACAGAGACACAACUUGUGAUUUUUCAGUCAGUUUCACCAUUUAAACAUGUUUUUUCAUCACUUUGGGACAGGAGUCUCUCUAGAGUCCUAUGGGGACAUUUACCACAAGACAAAAACAGUCUUGUGGCUCCCAAGGUCACAAGUCUUCAACCACCUGGAGUUUUUGCAGAUUGUGCAGUUCCACCCAUUAGCAGCCUUUCCCUUGGCUACUCAUGGGCCUCUCAGUGUAUCUGGGGUACUCUUUAAGAAUGCUUCCUCUAGUACAAAAUGAGGCUUCUCUUCUAUCUCUAAAACUGUCUCUAUCUCAAAAGAAGGAGACCUCCUUUUACCCCAGAAGCCGAGGGCUUCAAACUUUCUCUCUAAAAUCAUCUUUGUCUCAAAGGCUGAGACUUCUUUUUACUCCAGGAAUGAUGGGCUUUAAGAUUUCCACUUAAAUCCCAAUCAUAUCAAUCCCCAACUUUGACUAGAACUGGCAUUUUCCCAAACAACAUUAAGAUGUUACAAGAAAGUCUAUUUCUCCAUAGUUUACACCAGAGAAAUCUGGUUAAAAAUGUCCACAUCCUCAAUCCCUCCUUCCAAUAAUUUUUAUCAGUCCUUUCACUUUUGCUCCGCUGACUCCAUGCGGUGCCUUUUCUAUGUCUCCACUCUCUUUUCUCUCUCAGGGAAGGGUUAGGCCUUGGAAGCUUCAUGUUGCCUGGAAAGGGUUAAAUCUGCCCAGGCCUGCAGUGGCCAGGUGAUUUCUGCCCUGGACAGCAGUCUCUCCCCUGAUGCACCUCAGAUCGGCAUGGGUUUCCUCCCUCUACUCUUUUCUUCUCCAUCUGGGAAUCACCAGAGGAGGGGAGGCGAGGAGCUCUGCCCACCCCUCGGUGACAGUCGGGGCGGCCUCGGCCCAGCCGGGCCCGUGGCUGUUUUCAGGGGCCCGGUGGAGAUCCCUCCCUGCUCAGGGCCCCGGGGAAGUCUGAAAGGAGUUGAUGUCAAGCUGCAUCCCGUCCUCCCCCGCCGGGAGCCGAUCAGGCCUUGGGCCAGCUCCUCCCUCAGAAAGGGCAGAGAGCAGCAGGCCCCACUCGAUGUGACCUGUUCAGCUGGCCAGGAGGAAAAGGGCUGAUGAACAAAAUCAGGAUUUAUACGGGUACUUCCCAAAGUCGCAUUCAACAUUCUCAGGGGUCAAAACAGAUGCCAAUAUCCCAGUCUAGCCUCCAUUACGUCCUUGUCCUUUCCAAAACAAUUCUGAGGUUCUGACAGGACAACACUCCACGUUCCUCCCUAACUAAAAACUGAACUAUGACAACACCUCAGGAGAUAUGCUGGGUGGUGGCAGAGCCUAAGGGAGGAGCUGGGCGAUAGGCUGCUCAGGAUCCAGAGCUGUGUGUGGAUUUUCUCACACAGUACUUAAUAUGGAUCCAAGACCCUGCUGAUCCUGGUGAGAGGGUACAGAUACACCUUGGGAAGGUGACAGCAGGAAAACCUGUUUUCACUUAUUGUGCUUUCUCCUGAGCUCAGAUGCUACCUUGUAUAACGAGGUAUUUGCUGAAGAUUUCCUUUAGUCUGGGGUUGCAUGGACAGCAAAAUCUCUCUAAGAACAUAAUGACUUGUAUGGUAACAGUCAUAAGUAAAGGAUCCAAAGUGAUUUCUGACCUGCUUUGUGGCCUAGAGACAAGAGUCUCUGUUGUAACCUCAGCUGUGCAAAGGAUGGCCUGUGUGGAUCCCUGGCUUUCCCUCUCUGUAUUUCACUGUGUGCCCUUCUGCAGUGAGAAUUGAGCAGAAGGGCUGGACUGGCAUAGGCUGACUUUCAACAGCUGCCUUUUCUGUGACACAGAAAGGAGAGACAUCCAUUUUCUCUUUUAGCAGCUGUGAGAGUGCCCCUUUGGUGGUGCUGACAAAAGUUCAUCUGCAGCCCCAUCUAUGUAGGAAAGUUUCCAUUUGUUUGAUUCUUCUCCAAAGUCAGUCUGAUUUUCUGGUUUUGCUGCAAUAUCUAUAUGCCUCUGAGGAAAGCUACUUUGUCCUAAUGUGCCUCUCUAAGCUCUUGUGACAAUCAAACCUCUUGUUUCUAUGUACCAGUGUUAGAGCUGAUCUAAAUCCAAGUGGCUUGGCUGGCUGUAGAGUUUUUGAUUGGGAUGGGGAAAAUGAGGGAAAAUUUUGUAAGAAAGGAAAAUAUACUUCCUUUUGUCUCUUUAUGUUUCUUUC